rnacentral:piRNA from 1 species
UGUCAGUUUAUGACACUUUUCACAGCUUAGU